GACGAACGCUGGCGGCGUGCUUAACACAUGCAAGUGGAGCGACGAACCAGGGCUUGCCCUGGGGCAAAGCCGCGAACGGGUGAGUAACACGUGGGUAACCUGCCCCGAAGACCGGGACAACCCGAGGAAACUCGGGCUAAUACCGGAUGUGGUUGCUCUUCAUAAGUAGAGCAAGCAAAGGGAGCUUCGGCCCCCGCUUCGGGAUGGGCCCGCGGCCCAUUAGCUUGUUGGUGAGGUAACGGCUCACCAAGGCUUCGAUGGGUAGCUGGUCUGAGAGGACGAUCAGCCACACUGGGACUGAGACACGGCCCAGACUCCUACGGGAGGCAGCAGUGGGGAAUCUUGCGCAAUGGGCGACAGCCUGACGCAGCAACGCCGCGUGAGGGAAGAAGGCUUUCGGGUCGUAAACCUCUUUCAGGAGGGACGAAGCUUCGGGAGUGAAUAGCUCUCCGGAGUGACGGUACUUCCACAAGAAGCCCCGGCUAACUACGUGCCAGCAGCCGCCGUAAGAC
rnacentral:rRNA from 1 species